rnacentral:rRNA from 1 species
AAGCUCGUAGUUGAAUUUCGGGGUUAGUAGGUUGGUCAUGCCUCUGGUAUGUACUUGGUCUCACUGAUUCCUCCUUCCUUAUGAACCGUAAUGCCAUUAAUUUGGUGUUGCGGGGAAUUUGGACUGUUACUUUGAAAAAAUUAGAGUGUUUAAAGCAAGCUAACGCUUGAAUACAUUAGCAUGGAAUAAUGAAAUAGGACGUUCGAUCUUAUUUUGUUUGGUUUCUAGGAUUGACGUAAUGAUUAAUAGGGAUAGUUGGG